GGAUUAAUGGCAGAACUGGCUAAUGCGUGAUAUUUGAGCUAUCAUACUUUAUAGUACUGUAGGUUCGAAUCCUACUUAAUCCG